GAUUUGAUAGCUCAGUCAGUUAGAGCAUGGUGCUGAUAACACUAAGGUCGCAGGUUUGAUCCCCAUUUGGUCCC
rnacentral:tRNA from 1 species